GACGAACGCUGGCGGCGUGCCUAAUACAUGCAAGUCGAACGAGUGGCGGACGGUUGAGUAACACGUGGGAACCUACCAGACAGAGGGGGAUAACACUUGGAAAAAGGUGCUAAUACCGACAGCGGAUGGAGGGACCCGCGGUGCUUUAGCUAGUUGGUGAGGUAAUGGCUCACCUAGGCGACGAUCCCUAGCUGGUCUGAGAGGAUGAUCAGCCACACUGGGACUGAGACACGGCCCAGACUCCUACGGGAGGCAGCAGUGGGGAAUAUUGCACAAUGGGCGCAAGCCUGAUGCAGCCAUGCCGCGUGUAUGAAGAAGGCCCUAGGGUUGUAAAGUACUUUCAGUCGGGAGGCGUUACCGACAGAAGAAGCACCGGCUAACUCCGUGCCAGCAGCCGCGGUAAUAC
rnacentral:rRNA from 1 species